UACGGGGGGGGCAAGCGUUGUUCGGAAUUACUGGGCGUAAAGGGCUCGUAGGCGGCCAACUAAGUCAGACGUGAAAUCCCUCGGCUUAACCGGGGAACUGCGUCUGAUACUGGAUGGCUUGAGUUUGGGAGAGGGAUGCGGAAUUCCUGGUGUAGCGGUGAAAUGCGCAGAUAUCAGGAGGAACACCGGUGGCGAAGGCG
rnacentral:rRNA from 1 species